AUUGAACGCUGGCGGCAUGCCUAACACAUGCAAGUCGAGCGGCAGCAGGUCCUUCGGGAUGCUGGCGAGCGGCGGACGGGUGAGUAACACGUGGGAAUCCGCCUUUCGGUGGGGGAUAGCCCGGGGAAACUCGGAUUAAUACCGCAUACGCCCUACGGGGCAAAGUGGCCCUCUGAUUCAAGGUCACGCCGAAAGAUGAGCCCGCGCCCGAUUAGCUAGUUGGUAGGGUAAAGGCCUACCAAGGCAACGAUCGGUAGCUGGUCUGAGAGGACGAUCAGCCACACCGGAACUGAGACACGGUCCGGACUCCUACGGGAGGCAGCAGUGGGGAAUAUUGGACAAUGGGCGAAAGCCUGAACCAGCAAUGCCGCGUGGGUGAAGAAGGCUUGCGGGUUGUAAAGCCCUUUCAGCCGGGAGGAAAAGCGUACGGUUAAUACCCGUACGUAUUGACGUUACCGGCAGAAGAAGCACCGGCUAACUCCGUGCCAGCAGCCGCGGUAAUACGGAGGGUGCAAGCGUUAAUCGGAAUUACUGGGCGUAAAGCGCGCGUAGGCGGUCUGAUAAGUCGAGUGUGAAAGCCCCGGGCUCAACCUGGGAAUUGCAUUCGAUACUGU
rnacentral:rRNA from 1 species